CUAUUUGGCAGCUUGCAGAAGACUUGGCUUCACCUUGAGAAACCAUCCUUGGAGUGAUCAGAAGAAAAGGAUAAAGAUUCUUCCUUUAUUCAUCCUCCUUGCUCUCAUUCAGAUGGCAAGCCUGGCUCACGUGUUUGAAGAAGAUGCUACCAUUUAUUACAUACCUACUAUGUGUCAGUCAUUUCAUAUUUAUUCUACAUCAUGACUUAAUCCCCACAACUCCUUUAAGCUGAGUGCCACUUCCUCUUUUUGAAGGUGAGAAGACUAAGGCUUAAAUUAGCUAACUCAAUAGCAUAUAAUCAUACAGCUGUUAGAGACAGAAUCUGAAUCCUGAAAAAUAAAACCAAAUUAGGGGGCAACAGAGCUUUGUUUGACAUUAAUGUACAGGGGAUUUCGCUCAUGGUAGUGAUGUGUUCUGACUGAAACAAGGCUGUCAAAAUAGUGUCUUCUAGUAGCUGACUGUGAGCCUUAAGGCCAUAUUUUAGGGAAGAGUGUGGUGCAAGUGCUAGAGUGGGUUAGAACCCUUUUGUAGACUUUCGUGUCCCUCAUCACUAAGAUCCAAUGCCUUAAUAGAAAUCUAAUAACUCAAAGUUCAAAAGCUACAAAGGAAAAGUCUAUUGACUCACCUAGAAACAUACAGCAUAUCUUGAAAUCUCAUUUUCCAAGAAAAGUGCUGUCAUAGAAUAUUCUAGGAUCUGAAUAAGAAUUUGAAUGUUGUUGGUAGAAUGAAGACCAAAAGAAAAUGAAGACUAUAAGCAUUUAAAAAAAAAUAGCUUUGAAAUUUUGCCUUGGAAUGAUCCAGGUAAGCACAGCCAUUUUGUAAUAGUUGCUAUAAAGAGAAAAAUUCUGUUUUAAAAAUCUCACAUUCAGUUUCCACCACCAUCCGGUCAUGACCUAAGGAAAUUCUACAGUCAUUCUCAUCUUCAUGAAUUAAUGUGACACAAAGGUUGGAAGUUCACACUGAGCAAACAAGUAUAAUUUCACUUUUAUAAACUGCAAAGAUGAACACUUCUCAAAUUAAAAUGAGCUUGAAGCAUAGCACCUCUGUGUCAUAGUAAAAAGACCAAAUGAAUCCUCAGCUGAGCUGUCUUCAGUCAUGAUUACAUCAUUAGAUGAGACUAGAUGAGAGGUUUUUUUUUUUUCAACUUAUAGUAAAUGUGGUAUUUUAAGAACUUAAUCCCAUAAUGAGUGAAAAUAUCAUUGGUUUCCUUUUUAUAGUCAGCAUAAUUAUUUGGAUCCUUUCUGAACACAUAGAAGUAAUGACAAAUUAAAAUACCUUUCAAUUCCAUAUAGCUUUUAUAAUUAUUCAUGCAUUACUGUUAUCAUUGCUGGAAUGGAUCCUUCAGAUUUUAGUCAGCAUUCCAUUUGAAACAAAAGAACAUGGAAAAUUUUAUAGCUAUUAAUAAAUAUGCAGCCAUCCAAUCUAAGAGGAAAAUUCUUUUUCAUCUGAGAGAUAAACUGCAUAAUUCAUGUAUUCUCAGAAAUUUCUUUAAAUAGAAAAUUGAAGAAAAGCAUGAGAAAAAAAUUGUUAUAUUGUUUCUAUUUGCAGUAAGGGACAAUCUUUGUUCUCUAAGUCUUAAAUCUGAUUUGAUUGACAGGUACAAUUUCAGCUGCAUCCUAUAUACGCCAGUCACAUAGUCCAUCCACCAAAUGUUCUAUAUAACAAUAAACAUUAUGCCCACGUGACCUCUGUUUCAUUUUUGCAUAUUUACCAAAAAAAAGUAACUAGAUGUUAAGAGAGACUUUAUUAGUAUCAUGGAAUGUAAUUAGAAAAAAAUAGAGCCAUUUUGAAUGGAUACCAACAUUCCACUAAAAGAGAAGUUUCCGUGUCAGGGAAUUAUGGAGCUGCAUCUAAUUUCUGUGAACUCCAGACCCCACUGGAGCUCUAGCCCUACAGGGAUGUGAUGGCCUGCAGGACAAGUCAGAUGAGAAUCACACCUGCAAAACCAAGCCCAAUUCUUACAAGGCAACCACUGAGAGGGUUCAAAGUGGUAUCCCAGGAAUUUCUCUGCAGAGAAGAGGCAUUGCAAUGUUGUCAGAGAGCUCAGAGUUUAUGUGCUAACCAGCACCCACUACAAACACAGCCAAAACUUUCAGCAGAUGUCCAUAUUCACUACUGAAAGCUGUCAGCACAUUUUGUCAACACAGCCAAAUUCUCUUAUAAAUGUGCUGAUAGGCCAAAGAAGAGGCUAGAGAAAACCAACGUAUGAGCACGGAAAGGCUCUUAGUGGCUGUGGUCAGUGUGACAAUCUCCAGGGCAUCCAGGUGUGGAUCAAAGUCCUCUACGGAGGACAUCAAUAUCAAUAGUAUCUGCAUAAGACUAACUAAAUGAUGUGGGAACAACUCAUCCAUGAGUAGGAAUCAUCUUACUAAAAACCCGCCAUGAUCUCCCACUCCUUAUGAAGGUAUCCUCCCGAUUGCCCCAUGAUGCAAAGUGAGGUACACUGCUGUGGGGUGUCACUGGAUACUACCUGAGUCCUGUAAUCCACAGAAAAUUCCUUCACCUCUCUGAGCCUCAGUCCUCUAACUUCUAAAUUGGGGGUUAGACAUCUACUGCAUAGGACAUUUGUGAAGUAUAAAGGAGUUAAUGAAUGUCCUUUGUUAGUGGGAAAAUUAGUGAUAAAUAAAGCUAUCCAGAUAGAAAUCUAGAAUUUUAACUUUGUAUUAUCAUAUAAAUUUAAUAUAUAACUCUAAUUAAGAUAAGAUAAUUGUAAAGGUCAGGCGAGCAUCAGAGGAAGAGACCACCAAGAGACUGUCUCAUGCAACAGCAAAGGGUUUAUUGGGGGUCCAGCAUGUUGGGGCUCACAGCUCACUUGAAUAGAGCAAAGAGCCCUGAGAACAGCUUAAGCAGAGCUUAUAUACUUUCCUUGGAGAGGGCAGGGAGGGAAGUUCAUUGAUGGGUCAGGGCGAGUGGGCGGUUUGCCUGCAACCGGGUGAGGGAAUACAUUCUGCAGUUUGGCAGUUGGGGACAGCACAUUCUGGGAACAAGAUUAGCAAACAGUUCUCAAGAUUAUUAACCUUUCAUAAUGAGAUAACACAUUAGCCAAAUAAAACAUCAUCAAUGAUUUGUUUACAUGAAGAAUCUCUGUCAUCAUGGACUUCCAAGUUUCCAAGGAAUCAAAUAUAUUUGAGCUAUUGAGAACAAGACACUUGUCAGAUUGGAGGUGCUGGACACUUUGGCCUAGGAAGAUGGGAAAUGUAAAGAUCAAUGAAACCAGUGGUGGAGUGGGCAGGGCACAGAAGAACAGAGAGGCAUCACAGAGAAGGUUCAGAUAUUGUGGGAGGGGUUGCUUGAAUAAAUUUUCUGCUUUGCAACUCUGCCCUGACCAACUUAGUGAGCUGAGGAGAUUUUCAAAGUGUGACAGGUGUUAUCUGAUUUUUUUCAUGCUGGUUAUAGUAAGUUUUAAGAAUGAUGCUUUAAAGGAAGAACUGUUGAGCAAAAGGGAACCAAGAUUGAUCACUUGGAAAAUUCUCAACCUUUCCAGAAAGAAGAAAAAUGCUAAAAUUUAAAAAUUGGCUUCCGAGUGUAUUUUAUCCACACUUCUACUUUCUACAAUUUCAGUUACCUAUAGUCAAACAUGGUCUGAAAAUAUUAAAUGGAAAAUUUGAGAAGUUAAUAAUUCAUAAUUUUAAAUCUGGUAAGCAUAAUGAUGAAAUCCUGCACCAUUCCAUCAAUCCUAUCUGGGACAUUAUUCAUUCCUGUCUUGCAUUUCCAUGGUGUAUAUUGUACCCUCCCAAUGGUCACUUAACAACUGUCUUACACAUCAGAUCAGCUGUUGCAGUACUGCAGUGCUUUUAUUCAUGUAAUUCUUACAAAAUAGCCUAACUUUACAUCACAAUGCCUAUGUCACUCACCUCACCUCAUCAUAACAUCUCACAUCAUAACAAGGAAAACUGUGAGUAUAGUAGAAUAAGAUAUAAGGGUCCUUCUCAGAAGGACCCCAAAGGUUCCAAAGGGCUUUUCUUAGAGUGAUUUGUGGAUAUGACUUCUUUUCUGGUAAAGUAAACCCAAAUAAGAUUCCAAAGAUCUCACAAAGUAUUUGAGACAAUGACAUCAACAGAAACACUGCCAUUUUAGACUGAUAAAAGCAGAGAUGGCAUGAAAGGAAAAGAGGUCAGUCAACUCCUGAAGUUCUACUGUUGGAAGUCAGACAAUAAACUACUGGGGAGUUUCACCAGCUUUUUUGAGGAAGGAUGGCUGACUCCCGCCAACCAAGGCAGGUUUACCUUCUGAAAUGACUUCUAAGAUCUCUGAAUCCUGGAUUCCAUGUCCUGGUGUAAUCCUGUCCUUUGGAAUGUUUCCAACACUUGGACUGUGACGUGUAUAUGGUAUGCACAUCCUUCUCUUUCUCUCUCUCUCUCUCUCUCUCAUUUGCCCUGAUGGCUGCUUGUUGCUAUUUGUUGUGAGCUUCCCAUGCCCAAAGAUGCCCCUGGCCAGUAGUUUACUAGUUGUUCCAACAACUUACCAGGAACCAAAUCCUACCAGAAAUCAUUUGAGUGAGUUUGGAAGCAAAUCUGUCCCUAAUUGAGACUUAAGAAGGCUAUAGCCAUGGUUGAAGUCUUAUGAGAAAUUCAAGAGUGGGUAGCCAUGUUAAGUUAUUCCUGGAUUCUUAAAUCACAGGAACCAUGAGAUAAUAAAUGUUCUUUCAAGUCACUAAGUUUUGGGGUAAGCAACAAUAGACAACAAAUAGUGUUAUAGGUUGAAUUGUGCCCCUUCCUAAAUUCAUAUGUUGAUGUCCUAGCCCCAUUACCUCAGAAUGUGACCUUAUUUGGAGAUAGAGUCAUUGUAGAUACAAUGAGUUAAGAUGAGGUCAUCCUGGAAGAGUUGGCCUCUAAUCCAACAUGACUGUUGUCCUUAGAGAAUGCCACAUGAAGACUGGAGCUCUGCUGGCACAAGCCAAGCAGCUACCAGAAGCUAAGAGACAGUGCUGGAGCAGGUCCUGCCCUAGCACCUUCAGAGGGCACAAAACCCUUUUGUCACCUUGAGCAUCUUGGCUUUCUAGCCCGAAAUGUGAGACAAUAAAUUCCUGUCAUUAAUGCCACUCGGCUUGUAGGUGUUUGUUAUGGCAGCUACAGCAAUUAAGACAGGCACUGAAUGGGAGGAGGAGUGUGAUCAUGGAGUGUACCAAGCAGGAGGGGCAUGUGCAAGGAAAAGUUUGCCCUGACCCCACAAGUCCCCUGAAAUGCUGAUAUCUCCUAACUAAAGUCUGGUGAAAAAAGAAGACUAAUCAAAUACCAUCUCUUCAGAGCUGUGCUGAUCACAGAACAAUGUACUGAUUCACCCAGGUGGACAUGGGCCUUGCAAAAUGACCUCCUUCACAACCUCACAAAGUGUUUUGAUUGGCACAUAAUAAUUGCACAUAUUUUGAUGAAAUGUAUCAGAAGGGGUUAUGAAAACUUAUAGAAGACUCAGAAUGCACGAAAGUCCACCAGUCCAGGAUGCUCAGAGAGGACAAAUAAAGAUCUGAAAUCAAGGUAUCAGCAGAGUCACACUCCCUCUAAAUGCCCAGGGAAGAAUUCAUCUUUACUUUUCCAGAUCCUGGUGUCUCCGGGUGUUCUUGGCUGCUGGAAACAUAACCCCAAUGUCUAAUCCCAUCUGUAUACUUUCUCUGUGUAACCAAAGCUCACUUUUCUUUCCUUUAUAAAGAUACCAGGCUUUGGCUUUAGGACUCACCAGGAUGACUUCCUCUCUAGAGUCUUAAAUGACACCUACAAAGACCUUAUUUACACACAAAAUCCUUGGAGGUUGUGGAUGAACAUGAAUUUUGGAGAGACAUCAUUUAAUCCACCAAGUGCCAGCUUCCAUAUAGCAUGAUAAAAGCUCUCUGGGAACCUACUUUAAGAAGAAUUUCACAGCAGAAUUCAGGAUCAGUAGGGGGAGUCUAGGUCAUGAGCAUGGGCAUAAAAAGUGGGUAUAAUUUUCAAUUACUCAUCUGUAAAGAGGAAUUAAAUUAUGGCAUUUGCUAAUGCUAAGUGAAGUUAGUCAAUCCCUCCCCAAAAACAAAUGCCCAGUGUUUUCUAUGAUAUAAGCAGGCUGACUCAUGGUGGGGUAGGGAGAGGGAACAUGGGAGGAAUAGAUGAAUUCUAGAUAGGG